CGGAGCUCCGAGCCCCAGCCGGCAGCCACUUGGCACCGGGCGCUCCUUACCUGGAGCCCGCCCUGCUCCGCCCCCGGCAGGGAGCAGGCCCCGCCCCGGCUGAGCAGCCGCCCGGGCGAGGCGCGUGUGUGCGAGGGCAGCGGGCCGGGGUCUGGCGCGGCCGGGGGUGCCCGCCCCCCUCCCGGGUUUUCCAGUAGGCGCUCGCCCCUCUGCCUCCUCGCGCCGCGCUCCGGCCCCGAGCCGCAGACGGUCCCCAGCCCCUUGGGGGCUGGCGGGGAAGGGGCUUGGCAGCCCCGGCCGCUGCAAGGGGCGCUCGGAGAGCCGGGAGGCUGCCGCUAACCGAUGCUUUUCUUGAUCUGUUUGUGAACAAUUUGGGCUCCAGUACAAGGAAGACCUGGGGCAUCCGCAGGAAACAGUCCUGGGGAUACACUGCACAAGUAUUUUAGAUUUCCCUGUUCAGUAAUAGUCAGCAUGCUACUAUUCUAUCACAUGUUGGCAUUAGCUUCUCUUCAGAUCUUCAUCCUCUCAGAGAAUUGGGCUCUAGCCAAGAACAUCAACUUCUAUAAUGUGAGACCUCCACAAGACCCCACUCCAUUUCCAAACAGCUUUAAGUGUUUCACCUGUGCAAAUGCAGCUGACAAUUACAACUGUAACAGAUGGGCUGAAGAUAAAUGGUGCCCUGAAAAUACAAAGUACUGCUUGACAGUUCAUCAUUUCACAAGCCAUGGAAGGAGUACAUCUGUGACCAAAAAAUGUGCUACCAGGGAUGAAUGCCGUUUUGUUGGCUGUCACCCACGCAGAGAGACAGGCCGUACAGAAUGCAUUUCUUGCUGUGAAGGGAUGAUCUGCAAUGUAGAAAUACCAACCAAUCGCACAAAUGCAGUAUUUUCAGUAAUGCAUGCUCCGAGGACAUCAGAUGGCAGCAGGAGGACAAUUAGUAUUCCAGUACUUGCAUCAGUCAUAACAAUUAUGUUGUUAUGAUGCAGCUUUCCAUGUGCCAAAUGUGAUUCAGAGGGAUAAACUUUCUGGGCUCAGCUAUAAGAAGAACAUUUCAGUUUGAAGAAAGACUCCGGCCCCCUUCAGAUGAUAGAAGAUGGUAGGAAAACAUGGACAUGCACAUCAUGAAGUUUGUUGAUCAUUUAUUGAAAAUUCUUGGAAAGAGUCUGAAGUAUUUAAAAACAAACAAACUGGUGACCAGACACUAUAGUAGACUUUAACCAGUUAUCUGAAUUCUUCAUUUGGUGGUGGAAGCGUGUGUACACUCUGCACAUUACUUGAACAAGGAAACUGGUUGUCUGUAGGCAGUCAAUUUACCAGGUAGAACUCAGAACACUACUGAGUCUAUCAUCAGAUAUAUUUUGGAAUUCCAUUCACGGCUUUGACAAACAAGACUGUGUCCCCAAACCAACUCUAUGCAAGGUUCUUAUACUAUUCUUUCUUCUACGUUGUUUAACUUUGAAAAGAAUAUACGGCUGAAGAACAGUAUGAUACGCUAAAGGAAACAUGGGAUGUGUGUUUUGAAAAGCAAUGUUUAAAUGAUCAGUGUAAGUUUUGAAUACAAUAGGUGAAAUCCUUGCUUGAUUGAAGUCAAUGGGAAUUUUGCCAUUGACUUUAUUUGGGCAAGGAUUUCACCCAAUAUAUGUGGUGGUUACAUGCACAAUUCCUUAUUUUAAAACAAAAUGAGAGUAGUACAAAUGGCAGGCAAAAAUCUGUCAGCCUACAGUCCAUUAAGCCAUUAUUGUGAUAAUACGAAUGAAUUACUGUGAUAAGGUUAUUCUGGGUAGAUCCUACUAAUUUAAAUAAGGCUGGCUAAAGUGAUUUGUAUAUGAUGAAUCAUAUGAAGAAUACUGAAUUGUUUCUCCUAGCACUUGAAAAUUUGUUUGUGUGUAUAAACAAUAUUUGAGUUGACAGCCAAAGUGGCAAAGCUCAUUGACCUGAGGCAAUAAAUAUCCAAAGCCUUACCUUCUUAUUGUGAUUGUUAAAUGAACUAUGCAGUACAGAAUUGAUGGAAGAACUGAUGUUAGCUGGGAGAAAUAAUCUAAAGAAAUAGAAUGAAAUAGAAUGUUACUGUCACCAUCUGAAAGAACAGUAAUAAUACUUAGCUUUUUAUAUAGCACUUUUCGUCAGUAGCUCACAAAGUGCUUUACAAUGGAGGAGAGCAUCAUUAUCCCCAUUUUACAGUGGAGAAAUUCAGGCACAAGGAGGUGAAGUGCCUUGCCCAAGGUCUCCCUGUAGGCCAAUGGCAGAGCCAGGAAGAGAACCCACAUCUCACAUUAAUCAUCAUCCCCUGAUUUAUAACUUUUAAAUUUGGUGCCAGCAGGCACACUGUGUAUCACCCUGGGACAAAAACAUGAUGAAGAUGGGUCUUUACAUGCAAUGAGAGUUGCAAGAAUCACACUUAUGAGGAGACACAAUUGUCAAUAUAUUUUAAUUAAGGGACAUGGGAUAUUUCCCAUGGUACAAAGACUGUUGGGUACUCAGCUCACACUGAAAGCCAGUGGGAGUUCGAUGCUUAACUCACACGUGUGCCUUUGAAAAUCUGCUCCUUAAUCUGAAUCUUCCUCCAAAGGUUCUCCGUGUAUUGUCUUUUAUUCAUUUUUAUUCUCCCCCAAAUCAAAUAAAGACAAAGUGCAUCCAAAUAAAGGCAACCAGUAUCCAAUUUUCUGGAACUUGAAACAUGAUUUUAAGGGCCAGCUUGUGGUAGCAUUAGUCAUAUUGGGUAGUACCUCACCCCAUGUAUAGUCCCAAUGAAGUGAAUGAGGCUAUGGGUUGACUAAGUUUUACCCAAUGUGACACAAUCUGCCCUAAAUUUACAUUGCUUAUCACAGGAAACUUGGGAAUCUGAAGUCAUCCUCUUCACCUGAUUCCCCACUGCUAUUCAGUAUCUUAGCCAGUGUUAUGGCCAUGAGUUCCUGAAAUAUUUAAGGUUACUGAACUCAGCUUACUUUACAGAAAACACAUUGGUAACAUGAUGAUGCUUGGUAAAAGGAGCUCCAGCUGUGGGGCCAUUCCUAAUCAUUCAGUUAUUUUAUGAAAGGAGAUGAAUGAAGGGUCAUGAGAGAGAGAAACAAAAAAGCUUCCAAAUAGGACUAUUUUUUGCAGAUCAUAGGUCAAGUUUGACAGUGUCACUUUAAGAAAUAACCUUGUGUGUCUGGCAUAAAGGGCUUAGAAAAUUAUGGUGAUAGGCACCAUAGAAAAUGCUAAGAUAAACAGGCAUCGUAAAAGUGUGCAAAACCUAGUCAUCUGAAAGAAAGAAAAUUGAGUAAUUUAAAAUCAGCAAAGUGAAAGCAGAGACGGAUGGGAACUCUGACCAGAGGUACAUAUAGUUACCCUUGCAGGUUAAUUUGAAGCUCCUCUUUACAAUGUCUUGCUUGUAGUUUCCAUGACAAUGCACAUUAUGGUUCUGACCCUUAAAAAGGGGCCUCUUCCAGGUAACAUGCAAUGUCAUUAGUUAUUGUUUUGACUAAUUUCUCACUGGCUCUGUCACCAUUGUGACACCAAGGAGGUCUUUCUAAAAAGUAGGUUCUCUGAGUGUGUUACUCAUAGAUCAGUCUUCUGGAGGUUGAACUUGAUUAAUGAGCAUUUUAAUUUCCAUAGAGCCUGGAGAAAGUGGGAGCAUAUGGUGCCUCCUCUCAAUUUCUUCACAUUUAUUUGAACACCACUGCUUUUGGAAUUUCACUUAUACAUUAUGAGAAGCCCUGAAGUCCUCUCCCUGACCCUUUCUUUUUCAGUUUGGUGUACCUAGAGGAAAAUCUAGAAUAAGAGUAGUUUGUUUUUCAUUUUACUUUACAGUAACAGCCACUGCUGAAAACCAGCAGGUACCCCUGCCAGUCUAAGCCAGUUUAGGGAGAUAGAAUGGCUAAUGUAAACAGCCUGGACGUUUGAAAGACAUGGAAAACACAAUGUCUCUGUAGAAAGGAAUAGACUAUACCCUUUACAAGGGUUUUGGGUUUACAGAAGUUUUCAUUAAGGCUUGAUGUGCCCCUGGGAGGUGCUGUACAGAUCAGCUGAGGUUACAUUAUUGAGCGGGUAGGUUCACUGAAUGGAAAACGAUGAGCUCUUGAAUGAAGUGUUAAUGGAUAUUUGAGACCAAAAAUACACAAGAUUUAUUUUAGAAAAAGCCCCCCUCCUGUUUCAAAGUUUAUAUUCAGAUGUGGGGCAAGGCAGAACUGGCAGGUGGAGGGUGUAAAACAACUGUGUUUUCGUGGUUUAAACAUUAUCCUGCAUGGCACUGAGUCACCACAAAUGCUAUAAACUCAUGAAACAGCCUUAGGUUUGUGUUCUCCAGAAACCUUGGAAAAAUGCAUUUGGGUUCUCAAAUUUCAGAGCCUAUGCAUCUAGCUAUUAUCCUACAAAAAUGGGUGAUUUUAUACUAAAAGUUGUCUAGGUGACAUUUCUUUUUUGAAUAAUGUAUUUGACUAGUUAUUUAUUUCAGAAGGGUUGUAUAAGGGCUUGUCUACAAAUGGAGUUAUUCAGGGAUAACUCCACAUGUGGACACUCUUAUUCUGGAAUGAGGAUGCUUUGUUCUUGUUUAGCUUAACAUACUUUGAAAGUGGAGUCAAGUAAAUAGGAGCAAGGCAGUCUUAUUCCACAAUACAUGUAUCCACACAUGGACUUAUUCCAGAAUAGCUAUUCCUGAAUAACUCCAUAUGUAAACAAACCAUUAGUAGUUUAAAGUGUCAGGUGUGAAAUGCCUAGGUUCCCUGAAAUCAUGGGUUUGAACCAUGGCCCCAUUACCUCAGCCCUUCUGUGUUAGAUAAUGUGAGAUUCAUGCAGUGUAAUGGGCAUGUGACUUAGGCUCUCUCUGCUCAUUAUGAAAAUUAAAUAUCCCAUGGCGCUUUUCAUAAGAGCAAGGGUUUCUCUCAAAACCAUUGGCCAACUGCUGCCUUCCUCUCCCUACCACCAGGAGUGGUUACAUGGUUCCCGUAAGAAUAAAUUGCCUGAUCCUGAGCACCCGCAGUUAUUGAAGUCAGUGGAAUUGCACAUGCUCAACCCCUCUCAAGAUCAGGCUUAGAGUAUGCAAAUCCACCAUCCACCAGGACGAAAUUUGCUAUAUGUAAAAUUAUCAUUUCUUACAAGCUGCCCUAGAGCAGCUUAAUCAUUCCUGUGUGUGAGGCUUGUUAAUUGGAAAAAAAAAUCAAACCUAGUGUUGGAUAGAGCAUGCAGACCCUUCCUCAUGUGAGUAGCCCUUCUUGAUGUUCUCAGUUUCAAUAGGUAGAGUUCAGAGUAAGGGUGUCCAGGACUGAGCCCAAAGUCUUUGUAAUUCCGUUUUUGCGAUUCAAGUCCUGUCCAUGUUUUAUCCUUCUAACUCAUUUAACCCUUUCCUGGCAAUCUGCCUUCUCACAGUGGAAAGAACCAGAUAUUUUCAGCAUUUUGAAGAGAGAUUGUUAUGAUAAUGUAAUAAUUUAUGAGCAUUUGAGUGAUUACAACAGUUUCUUGUAACUACCUCUAAGCCACUCUGCAUUUACAUCUGAAAGAAAGGGAGAGAUAGAAAGAUUGCUUAGAGGAAUGUACUACUAUAUUUUAAUUCCUUCGCUGCCUAUUUUCCCCUCAGGUUGCUCACAUACUGUAAUGCCGGUUAGCCUCAUUGGAAAUUAUACCCAUGUACCCAAGGAAGCAUACGUUCCCUGUAGUGGUAUUUUUUGGAAAAAAUAUUUAUGAAAAUGGGUUGCUAUAAGGAUGUUCAUUGUAGUUUGGGGCUCUUUUCUCAUUAGCAUUACACCCUUAUUACUUUUUUCAUUAAAAUAUUUUAUUCAGAAUAUUUUUACAUAAAUAAUGUAAACUAACUAAAUAAAUAAUGAAGACCAGCAGAAUGUGGUCUCUUUCUCUCCUCUUUGUUUUAUUCUUCUGUAAAACUGCACUAUUGUAUAUUCUGUGAAUGCAUAUGUUAAAAAGACAGGACAGCACACUGUGAAAGCUCCGUGUACAGAUUUUGGACAAUAUGUUGACUAUUCAUUUUAUGAAUAUCUCUGUUUUAUACAGAGAUGGGCCAAAGCAAAACCAGAGAACCAGAGUCCCCAUAUUUUGUUAAAAAUCCAGAACUGAAAUUAGCAACUGUUCUUUUCUCUUUAAUAGGCUGGUGAAAAACAUUGGAGCCAAAUAUCUUUUGUGUGUUUGAAAUCUGAUUCAAAUAUUGCACCUUGCAUCUACUUGUAAUGUUUUGUAUUCAGAGGUGGAGUCACUAGCACUAGUCAACCAUUUUUGAAUUUUGUGUAUUCACUGUGCCUGAUGAUAUCUUCUGAUGAGGGGAGUUCAUAGCCAUUGUAGGAUCCUUCAUUAUUAAGCUCAGCACUGGAGACCCUAUGGAAGAGUUAUUGAAACUCUGCACAGUUUUUAUCUUCCUGAGUGCCAGCAGACUUACAAUAAACAGGAAACUUGCCUUUUGCUGUCUCAUAUUUGAUCCAGACAUUUGUAAUGAAAGAGGUCAAGGGACCCAAGCAAUUUUUUUACUUUCAUAAUUGACACAGCAAGCCCAGAGAUGCCAGGGCUCAGCCCCAGCAAGCCCUGGCACAAAUUAAGCACUGGAUCCAGAAAGUGCAAAGUAAAGAUCUUGUUCACUUAGCAGAACCAAAAUUCAGUCCCGGGCACUGGGAAGUAGACACUUUGCCACAAUAAUUAAUUAUGGCUUGUGCUGAAUACAAUACAGUAAUUUGGUUCGAGAGGGCAGUUGUCAUGUUCAUAUUGGCACUGUUCAUAUUGGCACUAACUCAAGUUCGUUAAAAUACUUUUAAUGGAAAACAUAUUUUACUAAUGAGCUUUUUCCAUUGGGACAUCGUUCUCUAUUGUGUGAAAAAUUGUCCAGAAAACUAGUCAACAAGGGACCGCAAUUGCACUUACAUUUUCCUCCCUCCCUGUUCUUGCUACAGAGCAUGACUGGUCCAUUUAAUGUGUGAACUUUAGAAAACAAAAAUUAUCUUGCUUUAAUGCAAUAUCUCUGAAUUGCAGAAGGCUGGAGUAAUUACUGCAAUGCCUGCUUAUGUUCUGAAUUUCCUUUCAUUUUGCUAAAAUUAACUGAGAUUUGUAUAGGGAGAGAUGGCAGUGGGAUGAAUACAAACUGUCUUUUGCUAAAUCAAAUGUAUGUGCACAAAUUACUUUAAAAUAUUUUUAAAUUAAAUGUGAAACUAGAAGGAGACAAGUCACAUCAUGUUCCCCAUGGGUUGAAUUCUCCCCAUCAUGAUGGCCAGCAGGAGGUCUAUGCAGUGCUAAAUUCAUGUCCUCAAAAUAGGGUUAAAAUGGAUCUUGGUGCAUUAGGCCUUUUGCUAUCUCUCAGUGCAUGGAUGAUUUUUACCUUAUGUGAUCUGAAAUUGAGACACAAAUGGCAAAAGAACUGUUUCUGGAUUGUUGGGACAAUGUGCAUGCUAAUACAUAAAACCCAGUUGCUGAAGAUCAUCAGUUGGUUCAAGAGUACAGUUAUCAUUCUUAGUUAGUCUGUCAAUAUUGGCAGUAGAUCAAGUUUGUAAAAACGAGUUUCAUGGAAAACCUAUUUUAGUAAUGAGAAUCUGCCAUUGGGACAUCAUUCUCUGUUGUUGAUGAUCAGCUUUUCUUUAAUCUUUAAUCUUAAAAGAAUAAACCAUCUCAGGAGAUACCACCAUUAAUAAUACAAUAAUGGAGGUGUUCUUGCUAAAUAUUUAGCAUUCUGGAAUCAUUUCUGGAUCUAAAUAAGUGAUCCCUUAGAACACCAUUAGCACAAAGGAAAAAGUGAUGGGAUGAACAUGGCAUUGAACCUUGGCACCAGAUCUUCCUACUUCAGGUCAGAGUUCACAGCUCAAGCCAAUCUCUGCUCAGCUUUAACUAUCAUAGUGCUAACAUCUCACUAUAGCAAGCAGAAUCAAGACACCCAGCAAAUUCACUUCAGGAUUUCAUUUCAGGAGUGUUUAAGUCCAGAGUUUAGGUGAUGGAGUUACUUCGAAGAACAGCAGACUUUUGUUUGUUUAAAAAAAAAUGUGUAUGCUACAGCGGCUUAUUAUCGCCUAGGCCGGCAAAUUUGCAGGGACGGCAAAUUUAUAAUAGCAGCAUUUUUGUAAUCUUGGCAUCAGUGACGCCGUGAUUCUGCCAAUCACAGCACGUAUUGAAACCACCAAUGAUGGUGCGACACCAUUUAGUAAACAUACUCACGAGAAUCCCAAACGUUAAUAAUAUGACCGGAAGGAAGAAAUUAAGCAGUUCUCAGUUAAAAAACAAACAAACAAACAAAAAAAGGCUAUACAAAAGAAAGAAAGGGAAAAUGAAAUGAUAGCAAAAAUGCGCAAAUAGAUUCCUUUGUUAUAUCAGUUAGUGCUGACAGUGAGACAGAAAAAAUAGUUGAAAGUAGUAGUGAAGUAAAAAGUGAAAAUAUUGGUGUUGAUAUUGAAAAUAUUGAUGUGAUUAAAGUACAUAUUGAAACUAACUAAGAAAUUUCGGCUGCGGUUAGUGUUGAAGAAAAUACUCCAAAUACUAGCAUAUCAGAGACUACCAGGAAUCAUGCUGAUCUGGAUAUCUUUGACAAUACUGCAGAGAUUUGCGAAUCACAUCAAUCAGAAAUUCAAUCUGACACUGAAAUAUCUACCAUAAGUGACGACCCGGCCCAACGGAUAUUGAAUGAUGCUACAAUUGAGUAUUUAUCAAAGCAUGGUAUUAAACAAAAUAUCGAUAGUGAUUUUACUAACUCAGAAAGACAAUAUACUGAUAAAAUGUGUGUUCUAACAAAAAAUGUGUUUGAACGACAUCUUUUAAACAGUGAAGUAAAGCCACGGCAAUAUCUUCUAUAUUAGGAGAACAAAGGAACCAUGUUUUGUGCCCCAUGUCGAUUAUUCGGAGGGAUCUCUAGUCUGGUGACGAGUGGAUACCAUGAUUGGAAACACAUAUCAGCUCGACUACGUGAACAUGAAAAUUCGACUGAACAUAAAACAUGUGUACUGACAAUGGUGAGGAGAGGCGAGAUAUCUGGAAGAAUUUAUACGAAUUUAAAAUUUCAAAUGGAAGAAGAUAUUAUUUAUUGGAGAAAUGUGUUGAAGAGGAUUGUAGCAGUGGUAAAGAAACUUUCAAGCAGAGGACUUGCAUUUAGAGGUAAGGUAGAAAAAUGUGGAUCACCUUAUAAUGGCAAUUACAUGAUGGCCCUUGAGCUUGUCACAGAAUUCGAUCCAUUUUUAGCAAAUCACAUUGCACGUUACGGAAAUGAAGGUUGAGGUAACAUAUCUUAUCUUUCAUCCUAUACAUGUAAUGAAUUUAUAGAACUGAUGGCUUCAAAUGUGAUCUCAAAUAUUAUUAAAGAAGUAAAGAGGCCAAAUAUUUCUCGAUAAGCAUUGAGUCAACUCCCGACAUAUCUCAUGUUGAUCAAUUGGCUUUUAUACUGUGAUAUGUAAAUGAUGAUGGCAUACCAGUAGAGAGGUUUCUUUGUUUUUUACCAAAUACUGGCCACAAAUCAGAACAGUUAGCUGAUGCUCUACUUUCAACUUUUGAAUUGUUAUGGAUUAGAUAUCGCAAACUGCUGUGGCCAGUCGUACGACAAUGCCACUAACAUGUCUGGUGUAUAUCGCGGGUUGUAAGCAAGAAUAAAGAAUAUAAAUCCUUAUGCUGUGUUUGUGCCUUGCUCUGCGCAUUCUUUAAACCUGGUUGGAGUAUGUGCAGCAGAAAGUUGUCAAGAAGCACGUUCAUUUUUCUUAACUGUCCAACAUCUUUAUUUUUUUCUUUUCAUUUUUUUCUGCCUCUACUCACCAGUGGGAGAUUUUACUAUCUGAUUUGAAGCCAGGCAGUAAAAUAACAAAAAGACUUUCUGAGACUCGAUGGUCGUCUCGAGUGGAAGCUUGUCAUAAUUUGAGUGAAAACUGGAAUGCUAUAAUUAAAGCCUUAAAUACAAUAAAGGAAGAUGCUACUGAGAAACCUGUUACAUGUAAUGAAGCUGCAGGCCUGCAGCGAAAACUCGAUCGACUUAAGGCAGCUUUUAUGGCUGUAUUUUGGAGCUCUCUCUUGGAUUGAUUUCAUAUAACUAGCCAAAAACUGCAAAAUGUUAAUAUUGAUAUACAGACAGUUGUAGAACUCUACAACUCACUAAUAGGAUACAUUAACUCUGUACAGGGCUUGUUUGAUAUGUACAAAGAGAAAGCCAAAGAAAAAUCUGAAACUGAUACGAAUUUGACACAAGGCAAAAAGAAAGCGUAAACUUCAAUCUGAUGACACGCAAAGGUGAAGUGGAAAUGUGUGGUAGAGAUAAAUUUAAAGUAGAUACCUUUUAAACAAUACUAGACCUUGUAUGCUCUGAAUUAAAAUGCAGAAAUAAUGCGUAUCAAGAAAUUUAUGGCAGAUUUCAGUUUCUCUCUAACAUUCCCAAUACUUCAACAACAGAUAUAACAGUUCACGCUAAAAAAUUACAGCUAUGCUACCAAGGAGAUUUAGAAGAAUCAUUCAUGAAUGAGUGUCUUCCUUUUUUAUCGUAUUUGGAAGGUGUUGAAAUUCCUGAAAAGUGAAAAGAAGUCAAUUUUAAGAUAUUGCAGCCUUCUUCGAAAUCAAAACAUUCAUUCAGUAUAUCCAAAUAUUGAUAUUGCCUUCCGAAUGUUUGCACACCUGCUACAAACUGUUCAGUAGAACGAUCAUUUUCGGCAUUAAAAAGGGUGAAAAACUAUUUGAGGGCUAAUCUCAGUGAAGAAAAAUUAAACUCCCUUUCUCUCCUGACAAUUGAAAAGGAUCUAACAACUUCUCUGGAUUAUACAGAAUUAAUUAAUAAAUUUUCCGCUCAAAGGUGUAGGCGAAAACAAAUGUAACUACUUACUACUCACAUACUUUUAUAGUAUCUACAUAAAAUAAAAAAUAAACAUUUGAUAUACACUGUACCGCAGCUUGAAUGUGGGGUUUUGGAUCCAUGCGCGGUCCCGCACUAUAAGCAAAAUCAUGCUAUACAGACGCAUGUUCAAGUGAGGGUCUGCUGUACUUGUAAUUUUAUUUAUAAUAAAACUUGUAAAUGUUCAAUUAUUUUAAUGAUAUUUAGAUUCAUUUUAGUUCAAACAAAUUUGUAAAAAAGCUAAAACUAGUUCAUAUGGGGCCAGGGGCAAAAAUUAUUUCAGGGCCUAGGGGCGGGAAAAUCAUUAAUCCGCCACUGGUAUGCUAUAUUUACAGAUGUUAAGGAGCCUUCUCCUUUUGCUAUACCGCUGCAUCCUGGGGAAUUUCUCAUUAGGCUGUUUAGCCAAAGAUUCUGACGAACUAAUAAGCACCAGCAAUAAUCAUACUAUGGGAAGUCUAUUGAUUUCUUUUCCUUUUUAUUAAUUCCUCAUAGACAGUUGUUUAAUGCUGUAAUUUGUGCACUUAAAGGGGAAUUUUAGUGGUUCAAUGUCAAUUUAAUUAUCUCACUCAUUCACUGAAUAGUAAUUUUGUGUUAGCUUGACCAUAGCUUCCUUUAAGCUGCUGCAUUUGGAAAUAUAAUCAGAUCUUUCUGUGCCUGUGCUCCCCAGAUAACUCUCAUAAACAUACACAUAUGCAAUUUUUUUCCGCCAGGCCUCCACACAGCUUUAAGGGCUUGUUUAUUUUGGCAUCUGAUUCAACACCAAAUCCUGCUAGACUUACACAGUUAGUCUGUAAGGUGAGCAGGAUGUGGGCAUAGAUCUUGGCACUAGAGAUGUAGAUAUUAAUCUGCAUGAAGCAAAUAAGCAAUGAGUGACCUCACUUUCCAGAACCCAUCAUGUCAUCUGCUGAUUUAUAUGUCUGAGUAUGGACAGGAUUAAGAAGCUUUCACAUGGUGUGGAUCUAAUUCAUAUAUUUACAAACAGUUUUUAAGCUGUCAAAUCUCUGCUUUAAAAUAUUUAUGCAGCUGACUGUAGAUUGUUGGAUUUAGGACAUACUGUGUUUUCUUUCCUCUGUCCAACACAUCAGAUUAUCUGAGUUAAUACAUAUCUCAUUAGGGCAAUGAGAAGGGCUACAGUGAAUUCUGAUUCCUCCUAGGGGGAGGUUCAUGUCUUAACCAUGUUUGCCACAAUAAUCUAUUAGCUUCAAAACAUUGCUCCAAACAGGGUCAAUAACUAUAGAUCAACCUGUUCCCUAUAGGAGGCAGGAAUUUUUAUAAAUUUGGAUUCAGUAACACUGAUGUAGUCAUUAUGAAUUUAUGCAUUGAGUCCUUGCAGGGUUGGGAGGAAAUAAUGUCUCUGAGAGUGUCUGUCCCCCCCCCUAUCAGUAGAACCCAUUUUCAUAGCGCCAAGGGAAAAAGAAAGCAUGCCAUGCAAUUCACUACCUUCGCAUAAGUCUGGAUGGAAAAUAGUGCGGCUUUUAAAACUGCAGCUUUCAGUGGAAGGCCUGGUCUGAACUCCAAGUCUUGGUUUGUUGUGUUCUCUCUGGACGUUCUCAGCCCUUAGAGCCUUAGAAAGGGAGUCCUUUGCAGCAUUCCAGAGGGAACUUUCCAGUCAAUUAAAGAGCAGUAGGAGAGGCCCCAAAGAGAGUUCUGUCUAGUCCUUCCUGAAAGACGAUGAGAUGACUAGAGCUGGUUGAACAUUUUUUUGACAGAACAUUUUUCCAUUGGAAAGUGCAGUUUCAUCAAAAUCUAAAUGUCAGUUUAGGAACAUGUCAAUUUUGGUGACAUUUUCUACUGGAAAACUUCAGAACAAUUUGUUUCAACUUUCUUGUUGUAUUUUGAUAAUGUUGAAAUG